rnacentral:rRNA from 1 species
GACGAACGCUGGCGGCGUGCCUAAUACAUGCAAGUUGAGCGCUGAAGGUUGGUACUUGUACCAACUGGAUGAGCAGCGAACGGGUGAGUAACGCGUGGGGAAUCUGCCUUUGAGCGGGGGACAACAUUUGGAAACGAAUGCUAAUACCGCAUAAAAACUUUAAACACAAGUUUUAAGUUUGAAAGAUGCAAUUGCAUCACUCAAAGAUGAUCCCGCGUUGUAUUAGCUAGUUGGUGAGGUAAAGGCUCACCAAGGCGAUGAUACAUAGCCGACCUGAGAGGGUGAUCGGCCACAAUGGGACUGAGACACGGCCCAAACUCCUACGGGAGGCAGCAGUAGGGAAUCUUCGGCAAUGGACGAAAGUCUGACCGGGCAACGCCGCGUGAGUGAAGAAGGUUUUCGGAUCGUAAAACUCUGUUGGUAGAGAAGAACGUUGGUGAGAGUGGAAAGCUCAUCAAGUGACGGUAACUACCCAGAAAGGGACGGCUAACUACGUG